rnacentral:rRNA from 1 species
GACAGAGGUGCCGAGCGUUAGGCGGAAUCACUGGGCUUAAAGCGUGUGUAGGCGGAUCGUUAAGUACCUUGUGAAAUCCCACGGCUUAACCGUGGAACUGCUGGGUAUACUGGCGAUCUUGAGGUGCUCAGGGGCGAGCGGAACAGAUGGUGGAGCGGUGAAAUGCGUAGAUAUCAUCUGGAACGCCUGCGGUGAAAACGGCUCGCUGGGAGCAAUCUGACGCUGAGACACGAAAGCCAGGGGGAGCGAACAGG